rnacentral:rRNA from 1 species
AGCGAACAUUGGCGGUAGGCUUAACACAUGCAAGUCGAGCGAGGCGUAAUAGUCGAGCGGCGAACGGGUGAGUAACACGUGGGAAUCUACCUCGAAGUGGGGGAUAACGUCCAGAAAUGGACGCUAAUACCGCAUAAUCCAUAUUGGGAAAGCGCGCUGCGCUUUGAGAUGAGCCCAUGGCUGAUUAGAUAGUUGGUGAGGUAACGGCUUACCAAGGCGACGAUCAGUAGCUGGUCUGAGAGGAUGAUCAGCCACACUGGAAGUGAGACACGGUCCAGACUCAUACGGGAGGCAGCAGUGGGGAAUCUUGCGCAAUGGGGGCAACCCUGACGCAGCCAUACCGCGUGUGUGAUGAAGGUCUUCGGAUUGUAAAGCACUUUCAGUAGGGACGACGAUGACGGUACCUACAGAAGAAGUCACGGCUAACUUCGUGCCAGCAGCCGCCGCAG